rnacentral:rRNA from 1 species
CAGCAGCCGCGUAAUACAGAGGGUGCGAGCGUUAAUCGGAUUUACUGGGCGUAAAGCGUGCGUAGGCGGCUAAUUGAGUCGGAUGUGAAAUCCCCGAGCUUAACUUGGGAAUUGCAUUCGAUACUGGUUAGCUAGAGUGUGGGAGAGGAUGGUAGAAUUCCAGGUGUAGCGGUGAAAUGCGUAGAGAUCUGGAGGAAUACCGAUGGCGAAGGCAGCCAUCUGGCCUAACACUGACGCUGAGGUACGAAAGCAUGGGGAGCAAACAGGAUUAGAUACCCCCGUAGUCCAUGUCUCUUAUACA